AUUACCCAGGUUGUAUAGGGAUUUGGUGGUAAUACUAACAUGUUUUUGCUUGCUCUAUAAGCUGAAGGACCAAGCACACAGGGGUUUGAACAGAACAACCAUGUCCCUGCAACACUUUAUCCCAUAGUGAAAGCACAGUCAAAACAUGAAAAAUCCUUAAACCAGAGGGAAAACAAGCUCAAAAGAAAAAGGAAGGAGACAGAUGAAAAGGAAAAUUCAUCAGCAUCAGUGGCUGAAGAAUGCAUGAAGCCCAGUAGGAGCAAUCUUUUUGAAAAUGCUGUAGUCAGCGCUACAAGGACACCUCCUCCAGAACCACCAAAGAACCAGGAAUCUGCUUUGAGACCUUUAACAACGCAAAACAGCCCGGACCUCAUAUACGUAAACCCCAAGGACUCUGGUAAAAAAACACCACACAAACACAGCUCCAGUUCCUCAGCGGUCACCGCCACACCAAGCCCUGAGGAAACUGUGAGCGAAAAUACCCCCGUUCACAACCCCAGAGCACGGACUUUAGGGGUUCUGAAGGUGCGCAGACCUGGAGCAUGUAGUGUAUGGGCUCCAUAUAAAAAACCAUGGACUAGAAGCUUCGGCAAUGCCGAGGUGUUGCAACCACACAAUUCCAGUUCCUCAGCGGCCACCAUCACACCAAGCCCUGAGAAAACUGUGAGUGAAAAUGCCCACGUUCACAAACCCGGAGCAUGCGCUCUAGGGGUUGUGAAUAAAACACCAAGCAGUGACAAAACAUUUUCCCAAAGCCAUAAGCUCGCCGCAGCUCCCUCGAGUUCUAGUGUUUGGGAAGAGUUUGAUGCUUCCAUUAGAAAAGUGAUGGAUGCUAUAUCCUCGGGGCGUCUAAAAGAACGGCCUUCUAGAAAGACUUGGGAAAAAUAUGAUUCUUUGUUUAGAGCGAUGUUAAAAGACAGUAGGGCUAAAAACGGUGUUUCUAAGCAGGCAUGACUAGUUGUGGAAAGGGGUACCCGCCAGGGUUCACACCCGCUCACGUGUAAACAAAAAGGG